rnacentral:rRNA from 1 species
GGAGGACGGGUGAGUAAUAUAUAGGUAAUGUGCCUUGAAGAAGGGGAUAACAGUUGGAAACGACUGCUAAGACCCUAUAUGCCUUUAAAACAAAAGUUUGCAAGGGAAAUAUUUAUAGCUUCAAGAUCGGCCUGUACAGUAUCAGUUAGUUGGUGAGGUAAUGGCUCACCAAGACAAUGACGCUUAACUGGUUUGAGAGGAUGAUCAGUCACACUGGAACUGAGACACGGUCCAGACUCCUACGGGAGGCAGCAGUGGGGAAUAUUGCACAAUGGGGGAAACCCUGAUGCAGCAACGCCGCGUGGAGGAUGACACAUUUCGGUGCGUAAACUCCUUUUAUAUAAAAAAGAUAAUGACGGUACUAUAUGAAUAAGCGCCGGCUAACUCCGUGCCAGCAGCCGCGGUAAUACGGAGGGCGCAAGCGUUACUCGGAAUCACUGGGCGUAAAGAGCGUGUAGGCGGAUAGAUAAGUUGGGAGUGAAAUCCUAUGGCUCAACCAUAGAACUGCUUCCAAAACUGUCUAUCUAGAGUAUGGGAGAGGUAGAUGGAAUUUCUGGUGUAGGGGUAAAAUUCGUUGAGAGAGAGAAGGAAUACCGAUUGCGAAGGCGAUCUACUGGAACAUUACUGACGCUGAGACGCGAAAGCGUGGGGAGCAUCAGAUUAGAUACCCUGGUAGUCCACGCCCUAAACGUGUCAUCUAGUUGUUGUGAGGCUAGACCUUGCAGUAAUGCAGUUAACACAUUAAGUGUACC